rnacentral:rRNA from 1 species
GAUGAACGCUGGCGGCGUGCCUAAUACAUGCAAGUCGAGCGAACAGACGAUGAUCUUGCUCCUCUUACGUUAGCGGCGGACGGGUGAGUAACACGUGUAUAACCUACCUAUAAGUCUGGUAUAACUUCGGGAAACCGGAUCUAAUACCGUAUAACAUGUUGAACCGCAUGGUUCAACAGUGAAAUACGGUCUUUCUGUCUCUUAUAGAUGGAUCCGCGCUGCAUUAGCUAGUUGGUAAGUUAACGGCUUACCAAGGCAACGAUGCGUAGCCGACCUGAGAGGGUGAUCGGCGACACUGGAACUGAGACACGGUCCAGACUACUACGGGAGGCAGCAGUAGGGAAUCUUCCGCAAUGGGCGAAAGCAUGACGGAGCAACGCCACGUGAGUGAAGAAGGUCUUCGGAGCGUAAAACUCUGUUAUUAGGGAAGAACAAAUGUGUAAGUAACUAUGCACGUAUUGACGGUACCUAAUAAGAAAGCCACGGCUAACUACGUG